GUAAAUCAGACGGUUGCGGGCAUAGAAAUAUGCGUGAGGAAAGUCCGGGCUUCAUAGAGCAGGGUGCCGGCUAACGACCGGUGAAGGCGACUUCAAGGAUAGUGCAACAGAAAAUAAACGCCGAAAUUUUUCGGUAAGUGUGGAAAUGUGAGGUAAGAGCUCACAGGGAAGAUGGUAACUGAAUUCCCGUGUAAACCCCACCUGAAGCAACAUCGACAGUGCAGUAAAGCUUGCUCGGCAUUGCACGACUGAUGGCAGGAACAAAAGGGUAACCUUUUGUCACAGACAGAUAACCGUCCACGACAGAACCCGGCUUACGGUUU
rnacentral:RNase_P_RNA from 1 species